rnacentral:rRNA from 1 species
UACGAAGGGGGCUAGCGUUGCUCGGAAUCACUGGGCGUAAAGGGUGCGUAGGCGGGUUUUUAAGUCAGGGGUGAAAUCCUGGAGCUCAACUCCAGAACUGCCUUUGAUACUGGCGAUCUCGAGUCCGGGAGAGGUGAGUGGAACUGCGAGUGUAGAGGUGAAAUUCGUAGAUAUUCGCAAGAACACCAGUGGCGAAGGCGGCUCACUGGCCCGGAACUGACGCUGAGGUGCGAAAGCGUGGGGAGCAAACAGG